UUUUUUUUUUUUUUUUUUUUUUUUUUUUUUUUA
rnacentral:ribozyme from 1 species